rnacentral:rRNA from 1 species
AUUGAACGCUGGCGGCAUGCUUUACACAUGCAAGUCGAACGGCAGCGCGGGCUUCGGCCUGGCGGCGAGUGGCGAACGGGUGAGUAAUUCAUCGGAACGUGCCCAUUAGUGGGGGAUAGGCCGGCGAAAGCCGGAUUAAUACCGCAUACGACCUGAGGGUGAAAGCGGGGGACCGAAAGGCCUCGCGCUAUUGGAGCGGCCGAUGUCGGAGUAGCUAGUUGGUGGGGUAAAGGCUUACCAAGGCGACGAUCCGUAGCUGGUCUGAGAGGACGACCAGCCACACUGGGACUGAGACACGGCCCAGACUCCUACGGGAGGCAGCAGUGGGGAAUUUUGGACAAUGGGGGCAACCCUGAUCCAGCCAUGCCGCGUGCGUGAAGAAGGCCUUCGGGUUGUAAAGCGCUUUUGUUCGGGAAGAAAUCCUCUGGGCUAAUACCCCGCGGGGAUGACGGUACCGGAAGAAUAAGCACCGGCUAACUACGUG